CACGCCCUAAACGAUGAAUACUCGGUGUCGGGUCGUAAGAUUCGGUGCCUAAGCUAACGCUUUAAGUAUUCCACCUGGGGAGUACGAUCGCAAGGUUGAAACUCAAAGGAAUUGACGGGGGCCCGCACAAGCAGUGGAGCAUGUGGUUUAAUUCGACGCAACGCGAAGAACCUUACCUAGGCUUGAAAGGCAAGCCGCAGCCGAUGAAAGUCGGUUUCCCGCAAGGGGGCUUGUACAGGUGC
rnacentral:rRNA from 1 species